GGACUCUCUUGUACAAGCCCCAACAGCUCCAUGCCCAUCCCUGCCCAGGGUCCAGCCUUGUCUUAGUAAACAUUCAUCUCCCUGACUCAGGCUGCUGCUUAGAAAUUCUGUUUCGGUUGCAGUUCCAUUGUGUGGAGCCAGUACUACAACUUUUCCUCCUGCAUUCAUUUCUCUUCCUGCUGCCUUGUGAAGAAGGUGCCUUGCUUCCCCUUCACCUUCUACGGUGAUUGCAAGUUGCCUGAGGAUUCCCCAGCCAUGUGAAACUGCAUCUCUAUUUCCUGAGACCCAGGGAUAUUUAAA
rnacentral:lncRNA from 1 species